ensembl:lncRNA
AAAGCAGAACUGCUUAGACAGAACUCCUGUGGUGUCUGAUUGUCUCUUGCUCCCUGAGGGGCUGAGUUGGCAGACAGCAGGCUCACCUCUCCUCGGGACCCCUCAGCUUUGCUGAGGGAAGUUCCACUGCCUCUCUCUUUCUGUGGAGCGCCCCCCGCAGAAACUGGCGCCCAACGUGGGGCGCGAAGCAGACGGAUGGGGGUGGUGUCACCAUGCAACUCUGAAAGAAGGAGUGACGAAGGACCCUAGGCUGGUCGCAGCGCGGAGCUCCCCUUUAGAGGAAUAUCGCCUGAGAUCAUCAAUGCAGCAACCCUGGUGGACACUGCUCCUGGUGAUCGUCGGAUUACCUAUCCUCUCCUUGCUGACCUUCGUCAUUGCCACAGCUGUACAACAGUUUUUAGAAUCUUUGAAGCCUGGGUUUAACGACACCUAUAUCAAACCAUGAGGCCAUCAACCAUGAGGGUACAACAGUGUCAGCAUCCGUACUGGGAGUUCAACAAGCUCAGACCAUCGAGGUUAUAAACAACAUAUCCACUGCCUCUGCUCAAGGAUUUCAAACCAGCUCGAACACCUAAGAUUUGCCAUAACGGGACUCCAACAACAGCUUGAUCUCCACACCAGAGUGAUCGAGAUGUUGAGCGUCUUGGCACACAUAGACUGCGAUGUGCGAUCCCAGCUUUUGUCUGACAGCUUUUCCAGUGUUAAAUGAGACUCUAACAGGUGAAAAAGAGAGCAACGGACCUAUGGGACUGGGUACAAAGUCCAUUUACCUGGUUUAAAAAUGCCUUCUAGUUGCUUGUUUUUGUUAUUCUGCUUGUUGUAAUAUUAAAGGUAAAAUCUCACAGCCCGCAAUAGGAGCUUACAGCAAAAAAUAGUUAUACUUGCCCAGGUCAUGGAAAAGGAGCCCCACAUUAGGCACCCACAAAACCCCUGGAUUAAUUUAGCCCUUCAAGAGAUUAACCGAGACAGAUAAGAGUUCUAGAGGCCCAUCUAGAGAGAGUCCGCCUAGCCCCCAAGAGGUGGCUGGAUAGCCAAUGACGGGUAAGACCCUGAGAGGAGGGCAACCUAAGACAGGCACAGCCACGAGAGGGGCUGGCGAGGCUGGAGGUUGGCCGCCUACAGCUUUACGCCUUGUUCUACAGAACAUCAAUACAAAUGUCUCGAGAGCUUAAAUAAAAUAAAAAAGGGGGAGAUGUGAGGCCCUAAAUGGGAAACCUUGAAAAAGAAGGGCUAGCUUUGUGGUCGGAAACUAAGAUGGCGCCUGGCGGAAGAGAUAGGGGCGUGGUCUAUGUUAGUUUUUGAUUGGCUCUCUUAAUUUCCGUGCACGUGGACAGCUCGUGAUCACCAUAGACUCCUGUUACAAUGAAGUGCAUGACGACUUGACCUUUAAUGUGAUUGGUGCAACCAUGGUAUAUUAAGAUUUGACCUUUAACGUGAUUGGUGCAACUAUGGAAAGUCCUUCGCAAAACCCCCUUGCUUGCCUAUAUAAACCAAGAGUUUGUGGCAAUAAAGCAGAACUGCUUAGAUGGAACCCCUGUCGCGUCUGAUUGUCUCUUGCUCGUCGAGGGGCUGAGUUGGCGAACAGCAGGCUCACCUCUCCUCGGGAUCCCUCGGCUUUGCUGAGAGAAGUUCCACCGCCUCUCUCUUUCUGCAGAGCGCCCCCCGCACCUUUGGAGUCACAGUAAUUAAAGAACUGGAGAGCUGCCCUGCCUUGAUCUUGCUGCAGUGAUUGUCACAAGGACUUACCUGAUACCAAGUGGUUCCUUUAUUCCUAGAGGAAGAGGAUGAAGCACCCCAGCCAUGAAUGGAAUUGUGAACUGAGCCAAAACACUGGAAGACCAGGAGCUGCCACAGCGGGCUACUGGGAUAAGCUGAAACAGGAAUAAGACUGACGUAGUGAGAAGAUUUUAGCUCCAGGUAAGUGAAAAUAUUUCAACAGCCAGAGCUGUCCCACAGUGGAAUGUGCUGAAGAAAAGGCAAUUCCCAGGCGCUGCUGAUGAAUGACCAGCUCAGC